rnacentral:rRNA from 1 species
GUACACGCUGUGACUAGCAUAUCAAUAAGCGGAGGAAAAGAAACUAACAAGGAUUCCCCUAGUAACGGCGAGUGAAGCGGGAAGAGCUCAAAUUUGAAAUCUUAAAGGGUUUCCCUUUACGAAUUGUAGUUUAAAGAAGUGUUUUCUGUUGAGGUUUUGGUAAAAGUUCUUUGGAAUAGGACAUCAUAGAGGGUGAGAAUCCCGUAUUUGACCUUUACUUUCAACUUUGUGAUACACUUUCAAAGAGUCGGAUUGUUUGGGAAUGCAGUCCAAAAUGGGUGGUAAAUUUCAUCUAAAGCUAAAUAUUGGCGAGAGACCGAUAGCGAACAAGUACCGUGAGGGAAAGAUGAAAAGAACUUUGAAAAGAGAGUUAAACAGUACGUGAAAUUGUCAAAAGGGAAGCGUUUGACACCAGUGUUGUUUUUCUGAAAAUCAAUUAAAGAACUGUUUAUGCUAAGUUGUUUAGACUUUAUCAGCUAUCUGUUUAGUUUUGAGCUUCUCUUUAAUGCACUUUUCAGUUAACAAGUCAACAUCAAUUUCUUUUGCUGUAAAAAAGCUUGAGGAAGGUGGCUUGAGAUUCGUCUUAAGUGUUUAUAGCCUCUUGCCUAUGCAGUCGGAGAGAUUGAGGUCUGCAGCGUAGAUCCUUCGGGGCUAAAUGCAUUUGUGCUAAGUUAUAGCAUUUUAUAGACAACUUGUUGACUAUGAUUUGUCUUGUAGCUUACUCGCUUAUGUUAUUUUACCUACGCUUAGGAUGUUGAUAUGCAUGACUGAUAU